rnacentral:rRNA from 1 species
CGGACGGGUGAGUAAUGUCUGGGAAACUGCCUGAUGGAGGGGGAUAACUACUGGAAACGGUAGCUAAUACCGCAUAACGUCGCAAGACCAAAGAGGGGGACCUUCGGGCCUCUUGCCAUCGGAUGUGCCCAGAUGGGAUUAGCUAGUAGGUGGGGUAACGGCUCACCUAGGCGACGAUCCCUAGCUGGUCUGAGAGGAUGACCAGCCACACUGGAACUGAGACACGGUCCAGACUCCUACGGGAGGCAGCAGUGGGGAAUAUUGCACAAUGGGCGCAAGCCUGAUGCAGCCAUGCCGCGUGUAUGAAGAAGGCCUUCGGGUUGUAAAGUACUUUCAGCGGGGAGGAAGGGAGUAAAGUUAAUACCUUUGCUCAUUGACGUUACCCGCAGAAGAAGCACCGGCUAACUCCGUGCCAGCAGCCGCGGUAAUACGGAGGGUGCAAGCGUUAAUCGGAAUUACUGGGCGUAAAGCGCACGCAGGCGGUUUGUUAAGUCAGAUGUGAAAUCCCCGGGCUCAACCUGGGAACUGCAUCUGAUACUGGCAAGCUUGAGUCUCGU